UACAGAGGUCCCAAGCAUUGUUCGGAUUCACUGGGCGUAAAGGGUGCGUAGGCGGUCUGUAAGUCUGAUGUGAAAUCUCACAGCUUAACUGUGAAACUGCAUUGGAUACUAUCCGGCUAGAGGAAUGGAGGGGAGACUGGAAUACUUGGUGUAGCAGUGAAAUGCGUAGAUAUCAAGUGGAACACCAGUGGCGAAGGCGAGUCUCUGGACAUUUCCUGACGCUGAGGCACGAAAGCCAGGGGAGCAAACGGG
rnacentral:rRNA from 1 species